GAUUAAGUUAUUAAGGGCGCACGGUGGAUGCCUUGGCACUAGAAGCCGAAGAAGGACGUUACUAACGACGAUAUGCUUUGGGGAGCUGUAAGUACGCUUUGAUCCAGAGAUUUCCGAAUGGGGAAACCCAGCAUGAGUUAUGUCAUGUUAUCCGCAUAUGAAU
rnacentral:rRNA from 1 species